ACAGAUCGUUCAGAGUUUGAUCCUGGCUCAGGACGAACGCUGGCGGCGUGCCUAACACAUGCAAGUCGAACGGAGCUGUUUUGGAAGUCCUUCGGGGCGGAAGAGACAGCUUAGUGGCGAACGGGUGAGUAACGCGUGAGCAACCUGCCUUUCAGAGGGGGACAACAGUUGGAAACGACUGCUAAUACCGCAUAAUGCAACGGAGCCGCAUGACUCUGUUGCCAAAGAUUUAUCGCUGAAAGAUGGGCUCGCGUCUGAUUAGAUAGUUGGUGGGGUAACGGCCUACCAAGUCGACGAUCAGUAGCCGGACUGAGAGGUUGAACGGCCACAUUGGGACUGAGAUACGGCCCAG
rnacentral:rRNA from 1 species